GUGGUUAAUGAUGCAUCACUUUUUUCCCCGUCUUAUCGACCAUGGUGAUUCCUCAGCUAAUUAGCCAGUUUCACUGAAACCAC